CGAUACGAACGUCUUCCUCCUUCAGAGCUCUAAGCAUCUUUAUGAGUUGUCACCACAGUGGAUUUGGGUGAAAAGAGGAGAACUUACUGGGAGGAGGCCGUAACCGCGUUUCCGAAAAAUUGAUUUUGACCAUGUAUAUGGUGGUGAGAAUCAGAUGGAGAUUGAGGCUGCUUUGAAAACCACAGUUAGAUUACUUUUGAUUAUUUUUUGCAUUAAAAUCUACAGGAGUCCAUUCACAGAGAGUGAAAUAUUGAAAGCUCCACUUUCAAACCUAAUACAGUGAUCCCCCGCCUAUCGCAGAAGUUACGUUCCAGACCCACCUGCGAUAGGUGAAAAUCUGCGAUAUAGAAAGACCACAUUUUUUUUAUAGUUUAAGCCUUAAAAUACCCCUCCCACACGCUUUAAACACAUGUAAACUUAUUAAAACACACUUUGGAUACACAUAUGAUACACGGAUGUCAGGCUAAAAAUAUGAGUAACAUAAUAAUAAUCAUCAUCAAUUUUACCUUUUCCUGCAUGGUCAAGGUCUUCCUCUGUUGCUUAGGCUCACUGCUACCAGAAGACUUACAAGAUGCAGGACACUUGGGAGCCAUUGUAGGGCUUAAAACAAAAUGAAAAGUUCACAAACGUUUGCUUAGAAAAGUCGGACCACAAGCAAGGUACGUGAUACGCGAUUCGUCGGGGACCCACGCUCGCUGUUCUUGCGAGAUAACACCACGUUAACAGCAGCUAAUCAGAGCCCAAGAGAAUAAAAUCCGCUCUGAUUGGUUGAGUCUCCUCUUUCAGCCAGUAACGGGCUUUGUAAGAAAUCAUCUGAGUGCUGUAACACGAAACUCUUUGUCUGCUGAAAACCGUAUGCUUUGUUAUGAAUUGGCUGCAAAGUGCACUACAGGUAGGAUGUACUUAUUGAAUUUUUCCGCGAUAUAGCGGGGGCACGAUAGCUGAACCGUGAAAGAGCGGAGGAUUACUGUAUGUCAUUAAAGCGGAAAUUUAAGGAGCGAUAAACUCAUUAGUUUCAUCCUUCUCAUUAGGAUGUUUGGUGUUUUGAUUGUCUCAAUGCAUUAAAAGAAAAUAAGAGCAGGUUGUGGUCAGAACAGAAGAAGAGCAAAGUUGUUAACAGAUGUGGAGCCGACUGACCCUUUGAGAACUUUUACUUUUCAGUUACUUUGACUGUGACAGUCCAACCUUAUUCCUGCAUCUUAGGUGUCUAUGUUUUCAGAAACAAUUUCUACCUUAAGAAAAUGUUUACUGCUCUGAAUUAAAAUGUGAUUAAAAAUAUAUUUCCAAAAUGUCUGUUGUUGUUGAGAUGCUUAAACGCUGUUCUACUUCAUCUAUUAAAACGCUUCUUUUCAUUACUCUCAAUUAUAUGAGAAACAACAAUACGAUAAAGGGGGUCCAGAGUGUGAUGACACUAACAGGAAAUAAUCUCCAGUCCCCUGUCUCUUGUCCUCAAUUUUGGAUCUCACAAAAUAUUCACAACCCAUUUGGAGCAAUAAAACAAGAAAUAAAGAAAUUCUCAUUGGCUCGUA